rnacentral:rRNA from 1 species
AUUAACGCUGGCGGCGUGCAUAACACCUGCAAGUCGCACGAUGAAACUUAACUGAUUUCUUCGGAAUGAUUUUAAGUGGAUUAGUGGCGGACGGGUGAGUAACGCGUGAGUAACCUGCCUUGGAGAAGGGGAUAGCCUUUGGAAACGAAGAAUAAUACCCUAUGAUAUGAUAAUAUCUCAUGAUAUUAUCAUCAAAGAUUUAUCGCUCUAAGAUGGACUUGCGUCUGAUUAGUUAGUUGGUGAGGUAACAGCUCACCAAGGCAGCGAUCAGUAGCCGGCUUGAGAGAGUAUACGGCCACAUUGGGACUGAGACACGGCCCAGACUCCUACGGGAGGCAGCAGUGGGGAAUUUGGCACAAUGGGGGAAACCCUGAUGCAGCGACGCCGCGUGAUUUAGAAGGCCUUCGGGUUGUAAAAAUCUUUUGUAUGGGAAGAAAAUGACAGUACCAUACGAAUAAGGACCGGCUAAUUACGUG